GACGAACGCUGGCGGCGUGCUUAACACAUGCAAGUCGAACGGAAAGGCCCUGCUUGCGUGGUGUUCUCGAGUGGCGAACGGGUGAGUAACACGUGAGUAACCUGCUCUUGACUUUGGGAUAACUUCAGGAAACUGGGGCUAAUCCCGGAUAGGAGCUCCUGCUGCAUGGUGGGGGUUGGAAAGUUUCGGCGGGUGGGGAUGGACUCGCGGCUUAUCAGCUUGUUGGUGGGGGAGUGGCUUACCAAGGCUUUGACGGGUAGCCGGCCUGAGAGGGUGACCGGCCACAUUGGGACUGAGAUACGGCCCAGACUCCUACGGGAGGCAGCAGUGGGGAAUAUGGCACAAUGGGCGGAAGCCGGAUGCAGCAACGCCGCGUGCGGGAUGACGGCCUUCGGGUUGUAAACCGCUUUCGCCUGUGACGAAGCGUGAGUGACGGUAAUGGGUAAAGAAGCACCGGCUAACUACGUG
rnacentral:rRNA from 1 species